AUACGGAGGAUGCAAGCGUUAUCCGGAUUUAUUGGGUUUAAAGGGUGCGUAGGCGGAUGAUUAAGCGUGAGGUGAAAUGCCACUGCUCAACAGUGGAACUGCCUCGCGAACUGGUUGUCUUGAAUGCUCCUGCCGUGGGAGGAAUGUGUGGUGUAGCGGUGAAAUGCAUAGAGAUCACACAGAACACCGAUUGCGAAGGCAUCUCACGAAGGGGUGAUUGACGCUGAGGCACGAAAGCGUGGGGAUCAAACAGGAUUAGAUACCCUGGUAGUCCACGCAGUAAACGAUGAUAACUAACCGCUGGGUCGUAGUGAUUCAGUGGCCAAGCGAAAGCGAUAAGUUAUCCACCUGGGGAGUACGACCGCAAGGUUGAAACUCAAAGGAAUUGACGUGG
rnacentral:rRNA from 1 species